UGCAAGUCGAACGAUGAAGCCCUUCGGGGUGGAUUAGUGGCGAACGGGUGAGUAACACGUGGGCAAUCUGCCCUGCACUCUGGGACAAGCCCUGGAAACGGGGUCUAAUACCGGAUAUGACAUCCUCCCGCAUGGGAAGGGUGUGGAAAGCUCCGGCGGUGCAGGAUGAGCCCGCGGCCUAUCAGCUUGUUGGUGGGGUGAUGGCCUACCAAGGCGACAACGGGUAGCCGGCCUGAGAGGGCGACCGGCCACACUGGGACUGAAACACGGCCCAAACUCCUACGGGAGGCAGCAGUGGGGAAUAUUGCACAAUGGGCGAAAGCCUGAUGCAGCGACCCCGCGUGAGGGAUGACGGCCUUCGGGUUGUAAACCUCUUUCAGCAGGGAAAAAGCGCAAGUGACGGUACCUGCAAAAAAAGCACCGGCUAACUACGUGCCAGCAGCCGCGGUAAUACGUAGGGUGCGAGCGUUGUCCGGAAUUAUUGGGCGUAAAGAGCUCGUAGGCGGCCUGUCACGUCGGAUGUGAAAGCCCGGGGCUUAACCCCGGGUCUGCAUUCGAUACGGGCAGGCUAGAGUUCGGUAGGGGAGAUCGGAAUUCCUGGUGUAGCGGUGAAAUGCGCAAAUAUCAGGAGGAACACCGGUGGCGAAGGCGGAUCUCUGGGCCGAUACUGAC
rnacentral:rRNA from 1 species